rnacentral:rRNA from 1 species
AUUGAACGCUGGCGGCAUGCCUUACACAUGCAAGUCGAACGGCAGCGGACCUUCGGGUGCCGGCGAGUGGCGAACGGGUGAGUAAUAUAUCGGAACGUACCUUUCAGUGGGGGAUAACGUAGCGAAAGUUACGCUAAUACCGCAUAUUCUGUGAGCAGGAAAGCAGGGGAUCGCAAGACCUUGCGCUGAUUGAGCGGCCGAUAUCAGAUUAGCUAGUUGGUGAGGUAAAGGCUCACCAAGGCGACGAUCUGUAGCGGGUCUGAGAGGAUGAUCCGCCACAUUGGAACUGAGACACGGUCCAGACUCCUACGGGAGGCAGCAGUGGGGAAUUUUGGACAAUGGGCGCAAGCCUGAUCCAGCCAUGCCGCGUGAGUGAAGAAGGCC